CCUACGGGGGGCAGCAGUGGGGAAUAUUGCACAAUGGGGGAAACCCUGAUGCAGCGACGCCGCGUGAGUGAAGAAGUAAUUCGUUAUGUAAAGCUCUAUCAGCAGGGAAGAAAAUGACGGUACCUGAGGAAGAAGCCCCGGCUAACUACGUGCCAGCAGCCGCGGUAAUACGUAGGGGGCAAGCGUUAUCCGGAUUUACUGGGUGUAAAGGGCGCGUAGACGGGAGUGCAAGUCUGAAGUGAAAGGCGGGGGCUUAACCCUCGGACUGCACUGGAAACUGUAAGGCUGGAGUGCAGGAGAGGUAAGUGGAAUUCCUGGUGUAGCGGUGAAAUGCGUAGAUAUUAGGAGGAACACCAGUGGCGAAGGCGGCUUACUGGAAUGUAACUGACGUUGAGGCUCGAAAGCGUGGGGAGCAAACAGGAUUAGAUACCCCAGUAGUC
rnacentral:rRNA from 1 species